ensembl:lncRNA
GAUCUGGGAUGCAAUAUAGCCAUUGUCAAAUUGAUGUGUGAGUGAUCUCAUGCUCAUGUUCAGUGAACACUUUUAUUUAAGGUCUUACAGUGGUGGGCUAUGGAGACAACUUCAUCACUGCCUUUCCAGAGAACAUUGGUUUCUUCUAUCCGUCUGGUACCAUUAAACGUCUAAAGGUCACGGCCCUUCAUGACAACACUAACAUCAAAGUCUUCUACAAAAACACACAGAAAGACCAACUAAUUCCAAAGUCAGGGCAGACCACGAGUGUUGUGUUUCCAAUGUCUGCUGAAAUAAAUCAACUAGGCUCCUCGAUUUUAUCUGUCAGAAUUACCAGUGACAAAAACAUCACAGUGGUUUCUAUAAAUCAGCGGGCAGGCAGCACCCAGUCCUAUGUCGUCCAGCCAACGGUAAAUCUCGGCACAAACUAUUUGAUCCCUUUGCUGGAUUACCCAGAGUAUCUUGAAUUUUUCGACCUACCUAGGCUUGUCAGUACAACCAUGAGAUACAGCUCAUUCAAGUUACUCAUUAUCAAUGCGGUGGACAGUCAAAACGAUGUCACUAUAGUCAAGCAAACAUCAACAUCAGGUACUCACGAACAAGAGACGUUCAGUAUGGAUUCCUACCAGCUGGUCCAGCUUCAGACCAACGGUUCUGUUUUGAGGGUCAAAUCGAGCAAAGAAAUCGCUGUGAUAUUGACCCACCCAUGUGUAGAGACUCAGAGCUGUAACUGUAACAUGGUAAUAAAUCAGAUUCUUCCCUCAAAGUUUCAGGGUCGGAGCUUUAUCGUACCUUCCAUCUUCAGCAAUUCCGAGACCAAGUUACUUAUGCUGUCAGAAAACACGUCCUCGCUAUUUCACAAUGGUAACCAGCUACAGGCUACUCCCUCAACGCUUCUGCCAUUUUCAGACCUGCAGAAAUCCCAGCUGGUAAAUGCAACAGAGCGAGUGUCCCUCAGGCUUUUCAGUCCGGGCGUCAUUGUGGAGUUGAUCCCAGAAACCAUGUUUUUUGCUUGCUUCCUGCUGCAAUUUUCUUCAACAAAUGGCAAGGUAUUGGUGAUCGCUGAAACAGACAGUAAAGAUGAUGUGCACACACAUAGUGGUUUGCUCUCAGCAUCUGACUGGACUGAAAUCGCUGGCACAAACUACUCUUCGGCUGUUGUAACUAUGCAAGAUCAAAUUGCCACAAUCUGGCAUCCAACAUCAAGGAUUGGCGUUUAUAUGCUGGAACAUAUGUCUGCAAAAGUAAUGUUUGGAGGCCCGGCUAUACCAAUCAAUGAAAAACCAGAUCUUCAUGGCUGUGUGUUAGUUCCUGGAGCAUUUGCAAUUGGAAAGGACCCUCUGAAUUGGAAAAAGUCUCGUGAGUACUGCAUGAAUAAUGGAAAUCAGUUUGCCUGUCCUAUAACUAAAUCUGUCCUUAAGGACAUGGCUGAUAACCUGACCAAGGAGGAUGGGGAUGGCUGGAUUGGUCUCCGGCGCAGUUUACUAACUACAGACUGGUACUGGCAGGAGGAGUAUGAGCCCCCAAUCUCUGUGAAUUACAUUAACUGGGAUGAGGCGCAUCCACUGGCUGUUUUGAAGGGCUUAUGUACUUCAGUGUCCCUUGACCCUAAAAAUGAUUUCAAAUGGCACAGUGCACGCUGCUGUGAUGAAAAGAAGCCAGUCUGCUACAAAAGGCCAGCAUACCUC